UGGGGAAUAUUGGACAAUGGGCGCAAGCCUGAUCCAGCCAUGCCGCGUGAGUGAUGAAGGCCCUAGGGUUGUAAAGCUCUUUCACCGGUGAAGAUAAUGACGGUAACCGGAGAAGAAGCCCCGGCUAACUUCGUGCCAGCAGCCGCGGUAAUACGAAGGGGGCUAGCGUUGUUCGGAUUUACUGGGCGUAAAGCGCACGUAGGCGGACUAUUAAGUCAGGGGUGAAAUCCCGGGGCUCAACCCCGGAACUGCCUUUGAUACUGGUAGUCUUGAGUUCGAGAGAGGUGAGUGGAAUUCCGAGUGUAGAGGUGAAAUUCGUAGAUAUUCGGAGGAACACCAGUGGCAAAGGCGGCUCACUGGCUCGAUACUGACGCUGAGGUGCGAAAGCGUGGGGAGCAAACAGG
rnacentral:rRNA from 1 species